rnacentral:rRNA from 1 species
UGGGGAAUAUUGGACAAUGGGCGCAAGCCUGAUCCAGCGAUGCCGCGUGUGUGAAGAAGGCCUUAGGGUUGUAAAGCACUUUAAUGAGGGAGGAUUAGGAUGCGUUGAAUAGACGUGUCUGAGGACGUUACCUCAAGAAUAAGCACCGGCUAACUCUGUGCCAGCAGCCGCGGUAAUACAGAGGGUGCGAGCGUUAAUCGGAAUUACUGGGCGUAAAGCGUGCGUAGAUGGCCGAUUAAGUCGGAUGUGAAAGCCCCGGGCUCAACCUGGGAACGGCAUCCGAUACUGGUGGGCUAGAGUGCGGUAGAGGAGAGCGGAAUUCCCGGUGUAGCGGUGAAAUGCGUAGAGAUCGGGAGGAACAUCCGUGGCGAAGGCGGCUCUCUGGACCAGCACUGACGUUGAGGCACGAAAGCGUGGGGAGCAAACAGGAUUAGAUACCCCCGUAGUCCCUGAGCGGGCUGGCAAGGCGCAU